CCUACGGGGGGCUGCAGUGGGGAAUAUUGCACAAUGGGGGAAACCCUGAUGCAGCGACGCCGCGUGAGUGAAGAAGGAUUUCGGUACGUAAAGCUCUAUCAUCAGGGAAGAAAAUGACGGUACCUGACUAAUAAGCCCCGGCUAACUACGUGCCAGCAGCCGCGGUAAUACGUAGGGGGCAAGCGUUAUCCGGAUUUACUGGGCGUAAAGGGAGCGUAGACGGCCGCCAAAGUCUGGAGUGAAAUCCCGGGGCUUAACCCCGGAACUGCUUUGGAAACUGUGCGGCUGGAGUGCAGGAGGGGUAAGCGGAAUUCCUAGUGUAGCGGUGAAAUGCGUAGAUAUUAGGAGGAACACCGGUGGCGAAGGCGGCUUACUGGACUGUAACUGACGUUGAGGCUCGAAAGCGUGGGGAGCAAACAGGAUUAGAUACCCGGGUAGUC
rnacentral:rRNA from 1 species